rnacentral:rRNA from 1 species
AAACUAACAAGGAUUCCCCUAGUAGCGGCGAGCGAAGCGGGAAGAGCUCAAAUUUAUAAUCUGGCACCUUCGGUGUCCGAGUUGUAAUCUCUAGAAGUGUUUUCCGCGUUGGACCGCACACAAGUCUGUUGGAAUACAGCGGCAUAGUGGUGAGACCCCCGUAUAUGGUGCGGACGCCCAACGCUUUGUGAUACACUUUCGAAGAGUCGAGUUGUUUGGGAAUGCAGCUCAAAUUGGGUGGUAAAUUCCAUCUAAAGCUAAAUAUUGGCGAGAGACCGAUAGCGAACAAGUACCGUGAGGGAAAGAUGAAAAGCACUUUGGAAAGAGAGUUAACAGUACGUGAAAUUGUUGGAAGGGAAACGCUUGAAGUCAGACUUGCUUGCCGAGCAAUCGGUUUGCAGGCCAGCAUCAGUUUUCCGGGGUGGAUAAUGGUAGAGAGAAGGUAGCAGUUUCGGCUGUGUUAUAGCUCUCUGCUGGAUACACCUUGGGGGACUGAGGAACGCAGUGUGCCUUACGGCGGAUUUCUCGAGAUCUUCACACUUAGGAUGCUGGUGGAAUGGCUUUAAACGACCC